rnacentral:sRNA from 1 species
UGACAAGAUCGGAGGGGGUCAGAGGGA